CACGUAGGGCGCGAGCGUUGUCCGGAAUUAUUGGGCGUAAAGAGCUCGUAGGCGGCCUGUUGCGUCCGCUGUGAAAGCCCGGGGCUUAACCCCGGGUCGGCAGUGGAUACGGGCAGGCUAGAGGUAGGUAGGGGAGAAUGGAAUUCCCGGUGUAGCGGUGAAAUGCGCAGAUAUCGGGAGGAACACCGGUGGCGAAGGCGGCUAUCUGGACCGUAACUGACGCUGAGGCGCGAAAGCUAGGGGAGCGAAUGGG
rnacentral:rRNA from 1 species